GACGAACGCUGGCGGCGUGCUUAACACAUGCAAGUCGAACGCUGAAGCUUGGUGCUUGCUCUGGGUGGAUGAGUGGCGAACGGGUGAGUAAUACGUGAGUAACCUGCCCUUGACUCUGGGAUAAGCCUGGGAAACUGGGUCUAAUACUGGAUACGACAUGUCACCGCAUGGUGGUGUGUGGAAAGGGUUUUACCGGUUUUGGAUGGGCUCACGGCCUAUCAGCUUGUUGGUGGGGUAAUGGCUCACCAAGGCGACGACGGGUAGCCGGCCUGAGAGGGUGACCGGCCACACUGGGACUGGGACACGGCCCAGACUCCUACGGGAGGCAGCAGUGGGGAAUAUUGCACAAUGGGCGGAAGCCUGAUGCAGCGACGCCGCGUGAGGGAUGACGGCCUUCGGGUUGUAAACCUCUUUCAGCACGGAAGAAGCGAAAGUGACGGUACGUGCAGAAGAAGCGCCGGCUAACUACGUG
rnacentral:rRNA from 1 species